rnacentral:rRNA from 1 species
CCUACGGGAGGCAGCAGUGAGGAAUAUUGGUCAAUGGGCGGGAGCCUGAACCAGCCAAGCCGCGUGAGGGAAGGAGGUACAGCGUAUCGUAAACCUCUUUUGUCAGGGAACAAAGGCGGGGACUAGUCCCCGGAUGAGGGUACCUGAAGAAAAAGCAUCGGCUAACUCCGUGCCAGCAGCCGCGGUAAUACGGAGGAUCCGGGGGUUAUCCGGAUUUAUGGGGUUUAAAGGGUGCGCAGGCGGCCUGUUAAGUCAGCGGUAAAAGCCCGGGGCUAAACCCCGGCGAGCCGUUGAAACUGGCGGGCUGGAGUUGGAGAGAAGUACGCGGAAUGUGCGGUGUAGCGGUGAAAUGCUUAGAUAUCGCGCAGAACCCCGAUUGCGAAGGCAGCGUACCGGCUCCACACUGACGCUGAGGCACGAAAGCGUGGGUAUCGAACAGGAUUAGAUACCCCAGUAGUC